GCCGCGGUCGCAUAAUCCGGCAUUGCGGCGGUCUCGAAAACCGCUUUCCUUCGGGAUAUCCCGGUUCGAAUCCGGGCCGCGGCG
rnacentral:tRNA from 1 species